rnacentral:rRNA from 1 species
GAUGAACGCUGGCGGCGUGCCUAAUACAUGCAAGUCGAGCGAACAGACGAGGAGCUUGCUCCUCUGACGUUAGCGGCGGACGGGUGAGUAACACGUGGAUAACCUACCUAUAAGACUGGGAUAACUUCGGGAAACCGGAGCUAAUACCGGAUAAUAUAUUGAACCGCAUGGUUCAAUAGUGAAAGACGGUUUUGCUUUCACUUAUAGAUUGAUCCGCGCCGCAUUAGCUAGUUGGUAAGGUAACGGCUUACCAAGGCAACGAUGCGUAGCCGACCUGAGAGGGUGAUCGGCCACACUGGAACUGAGACACGGUACAGACUCCUACGGGAGGAAGCAGUAGGGAAUAUUCCGCAAUGGGCGAAAGCCUGACGGAGCAAAGCCGCGUGAGUGAUGAAGGUCUUCGGAUCGUAAAACUCUGUUAUUAGGGAAGAACAAAUGUGUAAGUAACUAUGCACGUCUUGACGGUAACUAAUCAGAAAGCCACGGCUAACUACGUG